rnacentral:piRNA from 1 species
CAAUAUUAACUGUGCUGCUAGA